ensembl:lncRNA
AAACACCCAAAUCACCACUGGCGUUAAUGGCGGCAGUAUGUAGCACGUAGCUCUUGGAUGCUCAUCGUCGUCUGUCUGUCUGACUUUGCUUCUCUCCGUAAUAUCGGGGAAAACAUGGUUUUUUUCUCCAUAAUAGUCACGUUUGAUUGUUAAAUUAAGCGUGUUUGAAUCGGCUGGUUUUCUUGGUCAUAAUAACACAGGUGAAAUAACCCCCCCCCCCCCCUCUGAUACACACUCAGUCUCUCUUUUUCUUUAAAAAGCAGCGGCGUCUUUGAUCUGAGGGGCUUUAGCUGCACCGUCUCACACACACACACACACACACACACACACACCAAAGGGAAGCACUGAUUUGGACUUGAUGAUAUUUCCCAUCAUGCAGCUCUCACAUCACACGCGCUCCUGUAGCGCCGGCGGCCUUAUCACCGUCAACCCAAGUGACUCAAUGAUAAAACAACUUGAGAUUCAAUGUGAGGCAUCAUUACUGUUACAGCUGUAGAGAAACGCCUUCAUCUGUGGUUUCUAGAUGGAACGUGUGAUUGUGAAAGAUGAAUUUAAACCACAAACAGCUGAUCCUUGGAGAAAGAAACCUGUUGCUUCCUGCAAACCCGUGUCAGCCAGAGGGGUUUUUAUCACAAAUACUUUAAACAUGUAAUCUGCUUUUAGAAUAACGAAUGAACUAUUAAAAUAACCACAGACAGUGGCAGUCCCCCAUAAUGUUAAAUUGAAUUGCUCAUCUUUUAUUUUGUAAUCCAAUUUUUAAGAUGAAUUUGUUAAAUACACUUGGAUGAAUUAUCAAUUUGUUUUGACACAUUUAAAUCAAGCAGAAUAGAUUUUUAAAGAGUCCAUUAACAUGAAUGAAUGUCCUGGUAAAAUAAAAAAUGUUUAUAUAAUUGAAUUAGAUUUUGUGGACCAUGUACCUUUGAGCAAACUUUCUUUUGUUUCAGUCAGUGGAGCUUGAGUUGACUUUGUUAAAGUCAACGAUGAGUCUCGUUCCUGCUCAGACUUACAUGUGUUUAGUGACUGGAUUAAGUAUUAAGUUUAAAUCCUCAUCAGCCUCCUGAAGAUAAACCAGUUUACCCAUCAUGCAUAGCGCUGCCCGGCCUGUUGUUCCUCCCCUGUGAGGAGGUCGGAGGUGAUGGAGGUGACGGAGGUGAUGGAGGUGAUGGAUGUGUCAUAGGUGAUGGAGGUGACGGAGGUGAUGGAGGUGGGCGUGUCCUUAAGCUGCAUUUGACAAAAAGACUAACUGAAUGGAUGCUUCGCCGCGAGCUGCGUCAGCUGUAGCUGCCCGCCUCCGGCCGGUUCGCCUCCACCUCCGUGAUUGCACAAGCUGUGUUUUAUGUGAUGACACACACACACAGUAACACACACACACACAGUAACAGACACACACACACACACACACACACACAGUAACACACACACACACACACGGUAACACACACACAGUAACACACACAGCUGCAGUCCAGUGUGUCAUGAGGACCAUGUAUUUUACAUGAGCAAAGGCAGCGUUUAGUCCGGCCUGGGGGGACGAGGGGGGCGGGGGGCUCAGACGCUGCUCUGUAUUCUACUGUGGAAGUCCAGCAGGUGAUGAGACACACACACAGUAACACAAACGGUGUGUGCGCGUUGUGCUCCUCCGUGUCUUCACUCUCGUGCAUCUCCCUCAUUGUGACCUAUCAAAGCGACGUCCCCUCAUCUCAUUCUUUCUCUCAGACCCGCGUACGUCGUUGGUUCGAGACCCUC